GGCGGCGCGUCUUAAGCAUGCAAGUCGAACGGCAAGAGGUAGCAAUACCUCCUAGAGUGGCGGACUGGUGAGUAACACGUGGGUGACAUACCCUUCAGAUGGGGGAUAGCUAUUAGAAAUAGUAGAUAAUACCGAAUACGAGCACAGGGGUUAGAGAUCUGUGAGGAAAGGAGCUAAGGCUCCGCUGAAGGAAUGGCCUGCGGCCCAUUAGCUAGUUGGUGAGGUAAGAGCCCACCAAGGCGAUGAUGGGUAUCCGGCCUUAGAGGGUGAACGGACACAUUGGGACUGAGAUACGGCCCAGACUCCUACGGGAGGCAGCAGCUAAGAAUAUUCCGCAAUGGACGAAAGUCUGACGGAGCGACGCCGCGUGGAUGAAGAAGGCCGGAAGGUUGUAAAAUCCUUUUGAAACUGAAGAAUAAGCGUUGUAGGGAAUGACAGCGUGGUGACAGUAGGUUUUGAAUAAGCAACGGCUAAUUACGUGCCAGCCGCUGC
rnacentral:rRNA from 1 species